GACGAACGCUGGCGGCGUGCUUAACACAUGCAAGUCGAACGGUAAGGCCCUUCGGGGUACACGAGUGGCGAACGGGUGAGUAACACGUGGGUGAUCUGCCCUGCACUUCGGGAUAAGCCUGGGAAACUGGGUCUAAUACCGGAUAGGACCACUGCCUGCAUGGGUGGUGGUGGAAAGCUUUUGCGGUGUGGGAGGGGCCCGCGGCCUAUCAGCUUGUUGGUGGGGUGAUGGCCUACCAAGGGGACGACGGGUAGCCGGCCUGAGAGGGUGACCGGCCCCAAGGGGACUGAGAGACGGCCCAGACUCCUACGGGAGGCAGCAGUGGGGAAUAUUGCACAAUGGGCGCAAGCCUGAUGCAGCGACGCCGCGUGAGGGAUGACGGACUUCGGGUUGUAAACCUCUUUCAGCACCGACGAAGCGCAAGUGACGGUAGGUGCAGAAGAAGGACCGGCCAACUACGUGCCAGCCGCCGCCGUAA
rnacentral:rRNA from 1 species